rnacentral:rRNA from 1 species
CCUACGGGAGGCAGCAGUGGGGAAUUUUGGACAAUGGACGCAAGUCUGAUCCAGCCAUGCCGCGUGCGGGAAGAAGGCCUUCGGGUUGUAAACCGCUUUUGUCAGGGAAGAAAAGGUUCUGGUUAAUACCUGGGACUCAUGACGGUACCUGAAGAAUAAGCACCGGCUAACUACGUGCCAGCAGCCGCGGUAAUACGUAGGGUGCAAGCGUUAAUCGGAAUUACUGGGCGUAAAGCGUGCGCAGGCGGUUAUGCAAGACAGAGGUGAAAUCCCCGGGCUCAACCUGGGAACUGCCUUUGUGACUGCAUAGCUAGAGUACGGUAGAGGGGGAUGGAAUUCCGCGUGUAGCAGUGAAAUGCGUAGAUAUGCGGAGGAACACCGAUGGCGAAGGCAAUCCCCUGGACCUGUACUGACGCUCAUGCACGAAAGCGUGGGGAGCAAACAGGAUUAGAUACCCUGGUAGUCCACGCCCUAAACGAUGUCAACUGGUUGUUGGGAGGGUUUCUUCUCAGUAACGUAGCUAACGCGUGAAGUUGACCGCCUGGGGAGUACGGCCGCAAGGUUGAAACUUAAAGGAAUUGACGG